UUCCCCGGUUGAUGGAAACCUUAG
rnacentral:siRNA from 1 species